rnacentral:lncRNA from 1 species
UUCCAUCAAACAGUACCUGCCCCUUAGGUGUGCUAGGGAAUAAAUGAAAUGCCUGGGACAUCAUCGUUAAGUGGCAUCUGAUGCAUAAGCAGUGCCCUAGGAAUGGGGUUGCCUGCCUUGGUCUCUAAAGGAUGGGUUCAAAAGGCAAGAGCAGCACACAAGAAGAUAGCUUCAAGCAGGAGAUAAAGCUUGGCCCAGGGCCCAAAGGGGAUACGACCCUUCAGGUUGGCCCUGACCUCUGGGUUGGAUUACCAGUGACACAAUGAACAUUUCAUUAUGAGGCCAUCCCUUGAGCAAACUGACAUGCUGAAAGCUGCCCUAUGGAGAGGCUCAUGUGGCAAGGAACAGAGGGUGGCUUCUGGCCAACACCCAGUGAGGAACUCAGGCCCUCAGUCAAACAGCCUGCAAGGAACUGAACCCUGCCAAUAACCAGGCAGUGUCAGCCCCCGGCCAAUGACCACCAUGGACCUCCCUGUAGUUGAACAAAGUUGGGUUUGCUGACUGGUGGCAGUGAGGGAGAAUGCACACCACAGGGAGCUGUGCAGUGUCUCAGUAAGAAGCCAGGAGCCAUCCCGUGAGGCCGUUACUGCAAACAAGCUGAAAAUCCUGCUUUGUUUCUUUUGGACACAACAUGCUUUCCUUCAGCUUCAGUAGACGAUGAGGCCAGCACCACAUGGGCUAGAUGUACAUGAGAUGUGAGCAACCACACUUCCCCUCUGACGGGGACAGACAGCAUCACAGGACAUGAAGUUCUAAGAGGUUCAGUGACUUGUCUAAGAUUAAACAGCUAUGAAUGGAGAACUGGAGGCAAAUGCCUCAUCAUCUCUCACCUGGGCAACUGCAACAAUGAGCAGUUUGUGUCUGUGCCUGCAUCCAUCCUUCCAUCCUGUACUCCAGCAGCAGCCAGGGUGGUCUUUCAAAAAUGCAAAGCUGAUAAUGUUACUCCCCUGCUGUAAACCUUCCAGCGGUUUCCUAUUGCCUUCAGAAUAAAAUACGAAUCAUCUGGCCUCCAUCUAUCUCUCCAGGCUCAUCCUCUCUCAAUUUUCCAUAUCCUUCAGGCUGAGCUCUGAAACUUCUCCUGGCAGUUCAAGAGAGCGAUGGAGGGAAUGCUGGGGCACAUCUAAAUAAAGCCUCCAAGUGGGAGUUCCUGCUCAGCUAUGCAUGAGCUCUUUGUGACUUCAUCUCCCAGCCUACAACUUGUGAAAUAAGCACGACUUCACUCAGAGCACAGCCAGAAACAUACAAACUUUCCAAAAAUAUUUGAAUGUUGACAGCAGACUGUCUUGCAUUCCAGUGAAUAAUUGGCCUGCUUUUGGGGAACCCAAACUUGGAAAAUACCCUGGUUCCAGAGGGGCAAGAACUCCAGCAUCAGACACAUAAUAUGCCUAGGAGCAGCCCUCUUCUGGGACCUCUGUCUUGUUGGGGCAUCCGGGUCACUGACUGGGUCCCCAUCUCCUGCAGGGCAAGUCUCCUCUCAGCACAUUUUUGCAGUAGGACCAUUUGUUUCUGUGACAUGGGUCUUACACAUGGCCACAUACUGGAGGCCUCGGUGAAGCUUGAGGACAUCACCUGGUGAGGUCACACCAAGAUUCAGGGCAAACCAGUCAUGAUAACCAAACAUCCCACUCCCCAACAGCCCAUCUGAGUUGCGGUUCUUGUUGAAGGGAUAUCGUGGAGUCAUUGCCAGACUCCGAAGAGAUAAAGCACUGCAAAUUGAAUGAGAAAAUCUAUUUUCACAUCCUGAUGAAGACAUAGCUGACAAUGAAAGAGUGAAUUGUUUUAGACAAAAACACAACCCCCUGCUUUUUCCUUUUUUAAAAAAACUUAAGAGUUACAGCUUUAGAAAAAUAGGAGCAGCUGACUAUCACAGAUAAAAAU